GAUGAAGAACGUAGCGAAAUGCGAUAAGUAGUGUGAAUUGCAGAAUUCAGUGAAUCAUCGAAUCUUUGAACGCACAUUGCGCCCUUUGGUAUUCCAAAGGGCAUGCCUGUUCGAGCGUCAUUUGUACCCUCAAGCUUUGCUUGGUGUUGGGCGUCUUGUCUCUAGCUUUGCUGGAGACUCGCCUUAAAGUAAUUGGCAGCCGGCCUACUGGUUUCGGAGCGCAGCACAAGUCGCACUCUCUAUCAGCAAAGGUCUAGCAUCCAUUAAGCCUUUUUUUCAACUUUUGACCUCGGAUCAGGUAGGGAUACCCGCUGAACGUAAGCAUAUCAAUAAGCGGAGGA
rnacentral:misc_RNA from 1 species